CGAGGCAGCUGCUGUGGGUGCAGCUCGUCUGGUGAUUGGCAGUGGCUGGCCUCUGGACUUCUGUUGGAAUUGACAGUAGUGCUUCUGAUGAGGUCUCCAAAUUUCGCCCAUUAUGCCUCAAGAGAGUUGCAGGAGUGGCGAGGCAGCUGCUGGAGGGGCAGCUCUGUCAGUUUAAUAGCAGGUUUUAUUGCCAUUAAACUUCUGCUAUUUGGCGCAAUCAGUAGACGCCGUAUAAUCCGUCGCUUUCAUAGUCGCCACUGGAUUGUCCAUUUAGAAACCUACCUAGGUCCUCAUAAGGCUCUUCGUCGGUCCAUUGGCUGUCGUCGUCCAUGUCCAUAUCCGGCUCACUGUCCGAUAUGGCUACUGCUGCUGCUGUAUUGGCGGCUGGUUGUGGUGGCGGCGGGUGUGUAGAUGGUGUUGUCUGUAGUGGCGGCAUGGCUGCCAAGCCCCCGCCUCUAGCCUCUGUCAGAUGUUUGGCACAGCUGCCAUCGCACUGAGCUGCUGGUGUUGGCGUGGCGUCGGGGCAUCAUUCGCGAUCGGUUGCAUCGGCUGGACCCUCUGG